rnacentral:rRNA from 1 species
AUUGAACGCUGGCGGCAGGCCUAACACAUGCAAGUCGAACGGUAACAGGAAACAGCUUGCUGUUUCGCUGACGAGUGGCGGGCGGGUGAGUAAUGUCUGGGAAACUGCCUGAUGGAGGGGGAUAACUACUGGAAACGGUAGCUAAUACCGCAUAACGUCGCAAGACCAAAGAGGGGGACCUUCGGGCCUCUUGCCAUCGGAUGUGCCCAGAUGGGAUUAGCUAGUAGGUGGGGUAACGGCUCACCUAGGCGACGAUCCCUAGCUGGUCUGAGAGGAUGACCGGCCACACUGGAACUGAGACACGGUCCAGACUCCUACGGGAGGCAGCAGUGGGGAAUAUUGCACAAUGGGCGCAAGCCUGAUGCAGCCAUGCCGCGUGUAUGAAGAAGGCCUUCGGGUUGUAAAGUACUUUCAGCGGGGAUGAAGGGAGUAAAGUUAAUACCUUUGCUCAUUGACGUUACCCGCAGAAGAAGCACCGGCUAACUCCGUG